rnacentral:siRNA from 1 species
CGUGUGGAUGCUCUUCUCUGCC